rnacentral:rRNA from 1 species
ACCGUCCGUUCAGUUGGACAACUAUAUGACAAUUUGACCUCAAAUCAGGUAGGACUACCCGCUGAACUUAAGCAUAUCA